rnacentral:rRNA from 1 species
CAGUCGCCGCGGGAAUGCGUAGGUGGCAAGCGUUGUCCGGAAUUAUUGGGCGUAAAGGGCUCGCAGGCGGUUUCUUAAGUCUGAUGUGAAAGCCCCCGGCUCAACCGGGGAGGGUCAUUGGAAACUGGGAAACUUGAGUGCAGAAGAGGAGAGUGGAAUUCCACGUGUAGCGGUGAAAUGCGUAGAGAUGUGGAGGAACACCAGUGGCGAAGGCGACUCUCUGGUCUGUAACUGACGCUGAGGAGCGAAAGCGUGGGGAGCGAACGGGAUUAGAUACCCCAGUAGUCCCUGUCUCUUAUAC